GAGAACUCCAAAGUAGCGGCUGAGGCGAUAGUAAUGCCUUGCCUGUCAACCAAUACUAUUGGCAAAAUGCCAGGGGCCAUUCCGACUCAGCUGUGGCUCUGAGCAAGAAUGUGCUGGGAGUGCAAUAUCUGGAGAUAGCGAGAAAAUUCCUGAGAAAGCCAGGACUUAUGCCUGCCCUGCCUGGAAAAUGUAGCAUUUUGACAUAAGGAAGAACUGCCUGGGACAGCCCAGGCUUGAUUCCUCUCUCCUUGGAAGCAGGACAUCACUCAAAACCUUACCAGGUAAGUCACAUGGACCCUGAGGUAGAUAAACCAAGUGGGUUACCCUUCCAGGUCUGUUAGCUGCGGUGUCAAUGGGAUGCAUGCAAUCAAGGUUCCAUCCAUACCUGGCACCUUUUUUUUUCCCGUCCAAUUUUGGAGUUCUGGGAUCAAACCCAGGGCCUCUCAAGCUAGGAAAGUGUUCUACCACUGAGUAACAAACAGCCCCAGCCCCUGCCAGCUUUCUUGAGUCUUGGGAAAUUAGCUCACAUGGAUCUUAGGCUUCUGUUGUUCCUUGCUAUCUAUGUGAAGUAAUAAGCCAGAUCCAUGUAACUUGUUGUGUAUGUGUGUCCUGUCUCAUCAGACUGAGUCACCUUUGUACCCAGUGCACAGUGAGCCUGCUUCACAAAAUUGGCACAGCUUUCUCUGCUUGUACUGAUUGGGAAGGCAAUGGCCUCAGCCUUAAUACGCAGAAUAACCCCAGGUGAUAUCAUGAAGCUUCGCCAGUAUCAACAUCAUUGACCACAAGGACCACAUGUUCAUCCAGAAGAACGUGGCCAAGGUUGACAAGGUAUUGCAGGUUUAACUGCCAGUUUAAAAUGUAAGCUAUCUUCAGAGUUAUCGGCAGGAUGAGUGACUCAGAUGACUCCAUUCUCCAAUUGGCCCAGGCCAGUGACAUCAUCUCAAAGAACUUCUGACUAGAGAGAAUUGUGAAUAUGGAAUAUUUGUCAUGAAUAAAAAGUGAGAAACAGAACAAAUAAACAAAUUUUGGUAUAGUGAACAGAAAGGGUCUGACAGACAGUAGCUCACAGUCAAAAAAGAGGCAGGCACUGAUAUCCACUAGUACCUGGCCUAGGAUAGAGACCUCAGCCUGGGAACACAGGGCUAGCCGUGCAGCUGGA
rnacentral:lncRNA from 1 species